GAGGGUAUAACUCAGUAGUCGAGUGCAUGCCUAGCAUGUAUGAAGUCCUAGGUUCAAUUCCCAGUGCCUCUG
rnacentral:tRNA from 1 species